UCUUCCACGAAAAGAUAGCUUAAACUGUGCUCUAAAUGGAGGUAUAGUCAAAUCCUAUUUUAUAGACUCAACCAUGUUCUAAAAUAAGUCGAAAGGUAAGCUACUAUAAAUCGGCACGAACUUUCCCGACAACCCAAUAUUUCGCUACAUCUGACCAUG